UCUAUAUUCUCUUAUUCACAAAGAAUAAUGAAACAAUAAAUGGAGUGAGUACAAAUGAUGGGAGGCUCUCUAUUUAUAGUUGAGUUCCCCAAAAACCGACAGUGAAGAUACAUUUACAUCGACGGACGAGAUUAACUAUAUUCCUUGAUUUUAGGGAUUUACAAAAUAUGUCAUAUCAAAUCUAAUCUAAUCUUUAGAAGAUAUGAUUCUAUCAAUCUUCUAAGAUUAGUUACUAAAAUAGCCUAAAUUGCCAUAUCUUCAUUAUCAUGCCAACCAGGCUUUAAUCUGACAGGCUUCUCCAACAGGUUACCGAAUCAGGUCAGUUCUUGCGGGCCAAAUGAUCUCCACCUACACGAUAAACCUCCAUCGGAUGCAUUUGGUAUGAUGGUCACGGGCUUUGAAUUGCGGCCCGUAACACUAGAACCUGAUUGAAGAAAAUAGAUAAAUGGAUAUUAAGCCAACAAAAAAUAGCUAAAUGCAGCACAGAGUACAGAAAAUGUUGACACAAACAAAAUUAUCUGGGUCAAACAUUAAAAACGAGUCAACUUACCCAUCAGAUUGUUUUUCUUCUAGAUCUUUGUAUUGUUGGUGCAGUACAAGCCGUCCAGGAACUAUAGUACUCUG
rnacentral:lncRNA from 1 species